AGACAGCAGUAGCCGCGGUAAUACAGAGGGUGCGAGCGUUAAUCGGAUUUACUGGGCGUAAAGCGUGCGUAGGCGGCUUUUUAAGUCGGAUGUGAAAUCCCUGAGCUUAACUUAGGAAUUGCAUUCGAUACUGGGAAGCUAGAGUAUGGGAGAGGAUGGUAGAAUUCCAGGUGUAGCGGUGAAAUGCGUAGAGAUCUGGAGGAAUACCGAUGGCGAAGGCAGCCAUCUGGCCUAAUACUGACGCUGAGGUACGAAAGCAUGGGGAGCAAACAGGAUUAGAGACCCCCGUAGUCCCUGUCUCUUAUAC
rnacentral:rRNA from 1 species